GGGCCAUAGUGGGCUGGCCCUUCAGUGCCCUGCUGGGCAUACCCAUUGCCUUUGACCUGCUGUUUCUGAAGAAGAAGUGGAAGAGUUUUAUCACGUGGACUCUGGUGGCGUUGCUCCUCUUUCUGGUCCCUGUUGUUGUAGUAGACAGCUACUACUAUGGAAAGCUGGUGAUUGCUCCUCUGAAUAUACUACUAUACAACGUGUUCACUCCUCAUGGGCCAGAUCUUUAUGGCACAGAGCCCUGGCAUUACUACUUUGUGAAUGGUUUCCUUAAUUUCAACAUUGUAUUUGUGUUGGCCCUCUUUUCUCUUCCUCUCACGGCACUUAUGGAGGC